rnacentral:rRNA from 1 species
GCCCAAACCAAGAGGCUUGCCUCUUGGGGUUGUAGGACACUCUAUACGGAGUUACAAAGGAAUGAUAUAAGCGAAGAGGUCUGGAAAGGCCCGCCAAAGAAGGUAACAGCCCUGUAACUGAAAUGUUGUUCUCUCCAGAGUGGAUCCUGAGUACGGCGGAACACGUGAAAUUCCGUCGGAAUCCGGGAGGACCAUCUCCCAAGGCUAAAUACUCCCUAGUGACCGAUAGUGAACCAGUACCGUGAGGGAAAGGUG